rnacentral:piRNA from 1 species
UGCUGCAGGCACAGAGCCAGUGGCGU